rnacentral:lncRNA from 1 species
ACUUCCCGAUAGCUCAGUUGGUAAAGAAUCCACCUGCAAUGCAGAAGACCCCAGUUUGGUUCUUGGGUCAGAAAGAUCUGCUGGAGAAGGGAUAGGCUGCCCACUCCAGUAUUCUGGCCUGGAGAAUCCCAUGGACUGCAGCACACCAGGCUCCUCUGUCCUUCACUGUCUCCCAGAGUUUGCUCCAAUUCGCCUCCAUUUGUCAGUGAUGCUGUCUGAGCAUCUCACCCUCUGUCACUCCCUUCAAGUAUCUAGGGUUAUUUUUUAGGAAUACAUGGUUGUGCAGGGCCUGGGGCAGCAGGAAACAUCUAUUUUAUGCACAGGAAGGAUGGAGAGAGGGGGUGGGUGAGAUUCAAAGUGCGUGUCUUCUCUUGUCAGUAAGUGUUCCGAGGAACUAGUUUUCAGGCAGCAUUUUAUUGCACAUUUUAUUUAUUCUGGCAAGGACUAUGCUAUAUCCUUGACUUCCUUCUCUGUGUUCCCUUACAAGCACUCUGAUUGAGGACCACUAGCGAAAGGAUGGUUGGACAGAUGCUGUCUUGGACUUAGAUGGAGUCCUAGUCCCUGGAGUGGUGCUCCAGACUUCGUUUGGAGACGAUGCUUCCAGAGCAAAAAAAAAAAAGAAAAAAGAAAUGGAGAUUGUACUGUAAGCAGUGUUUUGCACAAUUGUUGGGUCAACACACCAUCGUCCUGAAAAUUUUUCUUUGUACGAGGACCUGUGAGUUUCAUCCAUAACCAAGUAUAAUCGCUCGCCAAUGUCCAACUAACUAUGUGAAUCCACUCCACUCAAAUACUAUAGAAUUAAUUCUAUGUAAUUGCAUAGUACGAGUAUUCUGGAAGACGUGAGUUGAAGGGAGAAAUAUUUUAUAAUGGCAGCAGGAUGAGGCAGAGACAGCUUCUGACCAACUAUACAGAAAUCAGUCAUCAGAUUCUAAGAAGAAGUCUUGUUCCCAUGUGUAAGGCCAUUCCCAGCGGCAAACAUCUGGGGGAGAAGGCGCUCCGCUGGCAAGUUAAGAAGGGGCCGAGGUCAACUCCAGCAUUAGUCCCCUUCCUUCUCUGGUAUGAGGAUGCGAAUGCCAGGAUGGCCUGGAGCUGGGGUCUUUCUAGAGAGACGGCGAGGACCCAGAGGAUGUGAAUGGACAGAAGCAUGAAGGGAAGAAGUGAAGUGACGUUGCUCAGUCGUGUCUGACUCUUUGUGACCCCAUAUGGAUUGUAGCCUACCAGGGUCCUCCGUCCAUGGAAGUUUCCAGGCAAGAAUACUGGAGUGGGUUGCCAUUUUCUUCUCCAGGGGAUCUUCCCAAUCCAGGGAUAGAAUCCGGGUCUCCCGAAUUGCAGGCAGAUGCUUUACUGUCUGAGCCACCAGGGAAGCCCCGAUAAGCAUUAAGGGAAGAAACAUAUAAAAGAGAAUAGCACACAGUCUCUAACAAUUUCCUACCCUAGUUAAGUACAGUGUGGACUCUCAGACCCAGAAGAGUCUGAUCUUUGUGGAAGGCUGUUCCUCACCACGACGUCCUUGGUUUAGGGUCACCCGAGAACGUGACACUCGAGUUUGAUGAGUCAGGAGAAGCUUG